rnacentral:rRNA from 1 species
CCUACGGGUGGCAGCAGUGAGGAAUAUUGGUCAAUGGGCGCGAGCCUGAACCAGCCAAGUCGCGUGAGGGAAGACGGUCCUAUGGAUUGUAAACCUCUUUUGUCGGGGAGCAAAAGACGCCACGCGUGGCGUUCCGAGAGUACCCGAAGAAAAAGCAUCGGCUAACUCCGUGCCAGCAGCCGCGGUAAUACGGAGGAUGCGAGCGUUAUCCGGAUUGAUUGGGUUUAAAGGGUGCGUAGGCGGAAGGCCAAGUCAGCGGUAAAAUAGCGGGGCUCAACCUCGCUCCGCCGUUGAAACUGGCGUUCUGGAGUGGGCGAGAAGUAUGCGGAAUGCGUGGUGUAGCGGUGAAAUGCAUAGAUAUCACGCAGAACUCCGAUUGCGAAGGCAGCAUACCGGCGCCCAACUGACGCUGAAGCACGAAAGCGUGGGUAUCGAACAGGAUUAGAUACCCCGGUAGUC